GUGGGGAAUAUUGGGCAAUGGGCGAAAGCCUGACCCAGCAACGCCGCGUGAAGGAAGAAGGUCUUCGGAUCGUAAACUUCUAUCCUUGGUGAAAAUAAUGAUGGUAGCCGAGAAGGAAGCCCCGGCUAACUACGUGCCAGCAGCCGCGGUAAUACGUAGGGGGCAAGCGUUGUCCGGAAUGAUUGGGCGUAAAGGGCGCGUAGGCGGCCUGGUAAGUUCGGAGUGAAAGUCCUGCUUUUAAGGUGGGAAUUGCUUUGAAAACUGCUGGGCUUGAGUGCAGGAGAGGUAAGUGGAAUUCCCGGUGUAGCGGUGAAAUGCGUAGAGAUCGGGAGGAACACCAGUGGCGAAGGCGACUUACUGGACUGUGACUGACGCUGAGGCGCGAAAGUGUGGGGAGCAAACAGGAUUAGAUACCCUAGUAGUCC
rnacentral:rRNA from 1 species